GACAGAGGCCUCGAGCGUUAGGCGGAAUCACUGGGCUUAAAGCGUGUGUAGGCGGAAGCGUAAGUACCUUGUGAAAUCCCACGGCUCACCCGUGGAACCGCUGGGUAUACUGGCGCUUCUUGGGCCACUCAGGGGCGACUGGAACAAGCGGUGGAGCGGUGAAAUGCGUAGAUAUCGCUUGGAACGCCGAAGGUGAAAACAGGUCGCUGGGAGUGCGCCGACGCUGAGACACGAAAGCCCAGGGGAGCAAACGGGG
rnacentral:rRNA from 1 species